UCAUAUCACGAUGAAUCACCGUUUUUGGUACGAUCACAGACGUUAAGCAACGUCGAGCCUGGUUACUACUUAGAUGGGUGACAACUUGGGAAUAUCAGGUGCUGUAGG